rnacentral:rRNA from 1 species
UUAAAGGAAGUUGACGGGGCCGCACAAGCGGAGGAACAUGUGGUUAAUUCGAUGAUACGCGAGGAACCUUACCUGGGCUUAAAUGUAGAGUGCAUUUUUAGAGAUAGAAAUCCCUUCGGGGCUUUCUGCAAGGUGCUGCAUGGUUGUCGUCAGCUCGUGCCGUGAGGUGUUGGGUUAAGUCCCGCAACGAGCGCAACCCCUGCCCUUAGUUGCCAUCGGGUCACGCCGGGAACUCUAAGGGGGACCGCCCCGGGACAACGGGGGAGGAAGGUGGGGAUGACGUCAAGUCAGCAUGGCCUUUAUGUCCAGGGCUACACACGUGCUACAAUGGUUGGUACAAAGGGUUGCCAAGCCGUGAGGCGGAGCCAAUCUCAAAAAGCCAACCUCAGUUCGGAUUGCAGUCUGCAACUCGACUGCAUGAAGUUGGAAUCGCUAGUAAUCGCUGAUCAGCAGGCAGCGGUGAAUACGUUCCCGGGCCUU